rnacentral:rRNA from 1 species
UAGGGAAUCUUCCGCAAUGGACGAAAGUCUGACGGAGCAACGCCGCGUGAGUGAAGAAGGAUUUCGGUUCGUAAAACUCUGUUGUUAGGGAAGAAAAAAUGUAUAGUAACUAUAUACAAAAGAGACGGUACCUAACCAGAAAGCCACGGCUAACUACGUGCCAGCAGCCGCGGUAAUACGUAGGUGGCAAGCGUUGUCCGGAAUUAUUGGGCGUAAAGCGCGCGCAGGUGGUUUAGAAAGUCUGAUGUGAAAGCCCACGGCUCAACCGUGGAAGGUCAUUGGAAACUAAUAAACUUGAGUGCAGGAGAGAAAAGUGGAAUUCCUAGUGUAGCGGUGAAAUGCGUAGAGAUUGGGAGGAACACCGGUGGCGAAAGCGGCUUUUUGGCCUGCAACUGACACUGAGGCGCGAAAGCGUGGGGAGCAAACAGG